rnacentral:rRNA from 1 species
AUGCAGAUCUGGGAGGGGAUCAAAAUCCCUAGCCGCAUCUCCAUUGCGACCAGGCCUGGCAUCUCAUCUCUCUCCCUCACCCUCCUUCUCCACCUCCGGCCGCCGCCAUGGCCAGGCCGGCGUGGUGGUGCGCCAUCCACCCAGAUCCAUCCACCAUCGCCACCAUCUCCAGCCACCGCCGCACCUCGCGCGCCUGACCAGACAAGAGGGUCAUGGGCGUCUGGUCCUCCACGUGAGCACCCCCGUGCUGCUGAUCUUCUUCUCCUCACCAUGCUGCCGCUCUUUCCUCUUCAUCUCUGCUGUUGUUCUUCUUCCCCUGGUGCCGCUCCUCCUUCCCUCGUCUCUGAAUCUCCUUGCUGCUGCUCCUAUUCCCUUUUUGCUCCUUCUCCUUGCAUCCCCUUGCUGCUGUUGCUUCAACCUGCUAUUUCUCUCUCCCUGACGCCCCUGCUGCUGUUACAACUCUAA